rnacentral:rRNA from 1 species
UACAGAGACUGCAAGCGUUAUUCGGAUUCACUGGGCGUAAAGGGUGCGCAGGCGGCCAAGUGUGUGAGGUGUGAAAUCCCGGAGCUUAACUCCGGAACUGCGCCUCAAACUACAUGGCUAGAGCAUUGGAGAGGGAAGUGGAAUUCACGGUGUAGCAGUGAAAUGCGUAGAUAUCGUGAGGAACACCAGAGGCGAAGGCGACUUCCUGGACAAUUGCUGACGCUCAGGCACGAAAGCGUGGGGAGCAAAAGGG